UACGUAGGCAGCAAGCGUUGUUCGGAACUACUGGGCGUAAAGGGUGCGUAGGUGGCCCUAUAAGUCAGUGGUGAAAGCCUGCAGCUUAACUGUAGGAUUGCCAUUGAUACUGUAGGGCUUGAGUACUGAUGAGGUAGGCGGAAUUGAUAGUGUAGCGGUGAAAUGCAUAGAUAUUAUCAAGAACACCGAUUGCGAAGGCAGCUUACUAAGGAGUUACUGACACUGAGGCACGAAAGCGUGGGGAUCAAACAGG
rnacentral:rRNA from 1 species